AUAAACGCUGGCGGCGUGCUUCAGGCAUGCAAGUCGAACGGACGUCUACCUUCGGGUAGGCGUUAGUGGCGGACGGGUGAGUAACACGUAAGUAACCUGCCCAGAAGUGGGGAAUAACUGACCGAAAGGUUGGCUAAUACCGCAUACGUUGGUUUGUCCCUGGAUGGACCAACAAAGGCUUAGGCCGCUUCUGGAGGGGCUUGCGGCCGAUUAGCUUGUUGGUGGGGUAACGGCCUACCAAGGCGACGAUCGGUAGCUGGUCUGAGAGGACGGACAGCCACACGGGGACUGAGAUACGGCCCCGACUCCUACGGGAGGCAGCAGCUAGGAAUCUUGGGAAUGGGCGAAAGCCUGACCCAGCAACGCCGCGUGGGGGAUGAAGGCCUUCGGGUUGUAAACCCCUUUUGCAGGGGAAGAUGAUGACGGUACCCUGCGAAUAAGCCACGGCUAACUACGU
rnacentral:rRNA from 1 species